rnacentral:tmRNA from 1 species
GGGGAUGUACCGGCAUUCGACAGAGACUUUCAAAAAUCGUUGAUUGCAAUCCGGGGAUCGCGCCGUCUCCCCGCAUAUCCGUCCGGCGCAAACAUAGAUGCAGAUAUUUCUGAAUCUGACUACGGAUACAAUGUUAAGGCUCGAGCUUUAGCUCCUGUAUUCGCUUAGUCGAAUCUUGAACCCCUUAUCGGGUUCAACGUUUUUAUAAAUAAUGUCUGAUAGUUUAUAAAAACGCCAUUCAUCAGGCUGCGGAUGCGUUUUAGAUUUUUAACGCGUCUUAAGAUUAUAAAAUCACCGCCAUAUGAGUUUUUGUGCGUUUUAGAUUCAUAAGGCGUAAAACAAACGUACUAAGAUUGUAGAAGUCAUCGUUUUUGGUCUUUGCACCCGGGUUCGACUCCCGGCAUCUCCACCA